ensembl:lncRNA
CCCUACAUUCUCCACAAGGUCCUGCCCUGAAGUGCCACUUUGAGAGCAUGGCUUCAGAUUAAAAACGCAGGGGCCUCCUUUAGCAAUUUCCCACCCCCCAGCAAAGCAAAACAACUCUCUGAGCUGCUAGGACCAACUAGCGGGGCUUCCCAGCGCACCAGGGGCUGGCACCUUCGCCCUACCACCCUCCUCCAAACCAAAGGCUCAACUCACCAUAAAGAGAAGUAGGAGGCUGAAGGGGAUUGUGUCUCUGCCGCUCCGUCCAGCAGCGGCUCAGAAGCAAAGAGUUCGCACCCCCUGGGCACGGGCAGCGUAGAGAGAGCCCAGGGGCAGCUGGGACGCUUGCCGGCCCCCGGAGCCCCUUCCCCUCAGGAAGGACGCGGCGGCUCUCUCCCGCCUUCACCAGGGCAUCCUGAGUUCCCCUCUCCGAGCCCCGCUGCCUUCCUCCUCCUCCCUCACAAGUAUCACUUGGGCUGCAGCCAAACGCGAGCGGGCAAAGCGCCCGUCCAGGGUGCGAGCCUCACGCUGGCAGAGAAAUUCCUGACGAGGAGUCCCAAGCUCGCGAGGAGAGUCCGGGGCAGCUGGUGGUGAGGAGGAGCUUGCAAGGGCAGUCGAGAGAGCACCUUGUGCAGCGGUCCCCUAGCUGGGAGCUCGCAGGCGAAACCUGCAGCUGGCGGCGAGCUCCCCAGCGCGCGCCUCACGCUGGCCGAGCCAUCCCUGGAGAGGAGGCUGGCGCUCGCAACAGGAGCCUGGCGCAGCUCGCGGCGAGGUUCCCCGUUAGGUGAGCCUCGAGCUUGCACGAGGAACUCCCCCCUCCUGCGUAGGAGCCUGGAGAGCUUACAGAGAACCCCACUCCCCAGCUGGCGAGCCCCGCGUCGGGGGAUUUCCCGGGAGCCACUCGAGCCAGGUGACUUUGGGUUGCCGGGUUCGCCUCAAGGCAGCAGGGGGAGGCGCGGCUGCUCCCCAGCCAGCGCUGCAAAGUGGCUCCGGAGAGGGAGCGAGGUGACCUUCAAGCCCGCCGCGGGGGUGGGCGAAGCAGGCGGCUGCACGAGCCGCGCUGCACGCGAGCAGCCGCGGCGAGGAGAGCCCUGGCGAACAAGAGCAAAGAGGCCGGCGUUGGGAGGGGGCGAGCGGGUCUCCCUGCCCAGCAUCCCACCCUCCUCCACGCGCCGUUACGCCUGCACCUCGGGAUUGGCAGGUGCAUGCAGGCGCCCGGCGCUCUGCUCUGGCUCUCUCUGCUCAGCCAUCGAGGGACCCUCUACUAGCCCCACAGGGCCCAGGGGCUCUGGGAGGCCGUGGGGUGGGGGGCAGGGACACUCCACUCCACUCUGUUCAGAAGCACAUUACUUGCCAUCACGCAGAGAAACCAUUUGGCGAGAGGAGGGAGCGAGUGUAAAAUGGAUACUAGCCUAGGAGAUGGCACAGCUGCUGGUUUAUUACACUAGAGAGAUGGCUACAACUUUUCCUGCAAAGGGUUGUCACAAGCGGGCUCGAUAAAAAGCCAACCUAAAACCGGGGCUCCCAUAGCAAAACUAGGCAGGGUUUGAAACUGCUGCCUGUCUGACAAAUAAUAAUACUUAAGUGACAGUUAGGAAGUUGCUGAUUAAAAUGAUGCCUUUGGCAAUACUGAGAGAUCUUUGCCUAUUUCCCUCCCUCCCUCGGAAAACAAGUCUUAGAGGAAUUCUAAUGCUGAACUAAUGAGAAGAGGUAUUGCAGCAUCCCCAGCUCCAUGAAUUAUUGUUAAACAGGUCUGACAGCAGCUAGUUCCGAGAAAGUUUGACAAAUAAACAACAUCAGGACCUGUCA